rnacentral:lncRNA from 1 species
GGCAGGGGCCUGCAUUCCAGCCCACAGGGUCCAGCAGCAUUUCUUGCAGAUGCAGAAGCAGCAGGUGAGAAGCAGGAGCCCAGCAACCACAGCAAUGGCGAUCAGUGCCCAGGGUGGUACUGCCCACACAGAGAAGAUCCCAGGGUCAGCAGUGCCAUGCCUUGCAGCCCCUGACCCCGUAGCAUUGGGAAAAAUGGGUGAGGAAUAUGACUGCCAUCCCACAAUGCCCACACCCCACAUUUUAAAAGCCACACACCCAUG